UGUCUGGUCAUACUUGGCCUGGUGUUGUUGGAGGACGCACGUUGUGAUGGCCAUGCAGGGGAAAGCAAGCGAGAUACCAAGGUUGAAUCUGGACACGAAGAGCAAGGUUUUUAUCAACGAGCUUCGCAUCUCGCCUUCCGACAAUUUAUACACUCCGCCGAACCUUCGAAAAUGGGCGGCCCCAAACGACGAAACAGGAGCAGGAAAGGCUAAAACCGAGUAGUGGACAACUUGCAUGCUAAUCUGGCAAGAGCUAGCGGAGACAUGGACGCAGAGGAUUCUGAAAGCUGGUGCUGCUCUGACGCCAUACUUUAGAAUCGACACUUUUAAUUUCGGGACUUACAAUGUAUUAUACAGGUGUUGGUGGUAAAACUUUCCUAUUUUAAUUUAAGUGUUAAUAUUAUGCUUGUGUUUGCUCUUCUAAGCUCUAACAUUUAUGACAUUCGGGGUGACGAAUCCGUUCCGUACAACUUAGUUAUAUUCGCUGCAUUUGUAAUUCUUGAGAGAAACGAUUUGUUUUCUUUUUCUUUUUGAUAUUGCGGAUAUUCGUGUGUAAGACGAUUGUACCAGCUUUCCAUUGGUGGAACGCUUUUCAUGCGUUGAAGGCCAAUACAUGCAUAUAUAUAAUAUAAUAUAUAAUACAUUAUAUGAUUCUACAUUUCCUGCACUUACAUGUACAUUUCUCAACAGCUGAGCUUGGAAACACAUUAUCAUGUAUUAAAAUUGAAAAUAAUCAACUUAAAGAAUGGAACCAAACAAAUAUCUAAGGCUAAAAGUGUUAUGACGUACAAUAAGGGAGCCACAACACAAUGGGUGACACAUUAACACCAAUAGACAUUCCAUCAAACUUAGUAGGCAAAGUAACAAUCGAGUGUCAAAUGUGAUAGUGAUGGUCGAUAUUCAAAACAUUAUACAGGGUGA